rnacentral:rRNA from 1 species
GAUGACGCUGGCGGCAGGCCUAACACAUGCAAGUCGUACCAGUGGUAGCCGUAAGCUUGCUUCUUUGCUGACGAGUGGCGGACGGGUGAGUAAUGUCUGGGAAACUGCCUGAUGGAGGGGGAUAACUACUGGAAACGGUAGCUAAUACCGCAUAACGUCGCAGGACCAAAGAGGGGGACCUUCGGGCCUCUUGCCAUCGGAUGUGCCCAGAUGGGAUUAGCUAGUUGGUGGGGUAACGGCUCACCUAGGCGACGAUCCCUAGCUGGUCUGAGAGGAUGACCAGCCACACUGGAACUGAGACACGGUCCAGACUCCUACGGGAGGCAGCAGUGGGGAAUAUUGCACAAUGGGCGCAAGCCUGAUGCAGCCAUGCCGCGUGUAUGAAGAAGGCCUUCGGGUUGUAAAGUACUUUCAGCGGGGAGGAAGGGAGUAAAGUUAAUACCUUUGCUCAUUGACGUUACCCGCAGAAGAAGCACCGGCUAACUCCGUGCCAGCAGCCGCGGUAAUACGGAGGGUGCAAGCGUUAAUCGGAAUUACUGGGCGUAAAGCGCACGCAGGCGGUUUGUUAAGUCAGAUGUGAAAUCCCCGGGCUCAACCUGGGAACUGCAUCUGAUACUGGCAAGCUUGAGUCUCGUAAAGGGGGGUAGAAUUCCGGUGUACCGGUGAAAUGCGUAAAGAUCUGGAAGGAAUCCCGGUGGCGAAGCGGCCCCCUGGAACCAG